rnacentral:rRNA from 1 species
UACGUAGGUGGCAAGCGUUGUCCGGAUUUACUGGGCGUAAAGGGUGCGUAGGCGGACCUUUAAGUGAGAUGUGAAAUCCCCGAGCUUAACUUGGGGGCUGCAUUUCAAACUGGAGGUCUAGAGUGCAGGAGAGGAGAGUGGAAUUCCUAGUGUAGCGGUGAAAUGCGUAGAGAUUAGGAAGAACACCAGUGGCGAAGGCGACUCUCUAGACUGUAACUGACGCUGAGGCACGAAAGCGUGGGGAGCAAACAGG